GCUGGGUGCAGUGGCGCAUGCCUGUAGACCCAGCUACUUGGGAGGCUGAGGCAGAAGGAUCGCUUGAGUACAGGAGUUCUGGGCUGCAGCGCGCUAUGCUGAUCGGGUGUCCACACUGAGUUCGGCAUCAAUAUGGUGACCUCCUGGGAGCAGGGGACCACCAGGUGGCCUAAGGAGGGGUGAACCGGCCCAGGUUGGAAAUGGAGCAGGUCAAAACUCCUGUGCUGAUCAGUAGUGGGAUCGCACCUGUGAAUAGCCACUGCACUCCAGCCUGGGCAACAUAGCAAGACCCCGUUUCU
rnacentral:SRP_RNA from 1 species